CGACGACCAUGUUGGCGGGUAAUUGAAUUAAGCAGUGGCAUCUUCGUGUUGUUUACAGACGUUCGCUGUAAUCCAACAUGGCGCAGAUGACGUUACCACAUUUCCACAUAGAAUACGGCUGACAAUUACCUGUAUGUCUUCAAAAAACCCAGGACAUAACGUUACAUCAUGUGUAAAGGAGUUCAUGGAAAUACAUUAUCAUCGGCCAUCGUGUCUGUGACGUUUUCUUUGGCAUUGAUAAAGCUGGUGCUCAGGAAAGUGCAAGCACAGUAAGAAAUUGGCAAACGAUAAAGUUACAGCACCAGAGCUGCAGGUCCCUACCGCCCUGACAUCUCUCUCCCCUCCCCCCACAGUGUCAUGGAUGACUGAACGCCGCCAGGUUUGGGCAAUACCUACCGUAGUGCUGGGCCCAGGCUUCGCCCCUCCCCCCAACCCCCGAUCCUCACGAAGAUAGGUACGGUCUGGAACCCCAAUGUUUUUUCCGGUCAACACCUUCUUGUGUCCCUGAGCCCGGGGAAGACGAAUAGGUGGAAAACAGCUGGUACACCAAAUGUCCUCAGCAGAGAACCUGACCGCGACCGGACUGAAGUUAGCCUCGUAUUUUUCACCCAGCAGGUACAGGAUGUGGCUGGCAGGCACACAACAGUGAAUGCUUGACCACGUUGAGGUGAUGAGUGGCCAGCCAGUGUACCCCACCCACCACCAGGAUGGUGUCAGAACUGUUCUUCAGGGGCAACGACCUGAGGGAGGAUGUAAAGAUGUGUGGAAGUCUGUGAAGCUGAGGUGUCAGUAGGAUGGUGAACAGCAGCAGAGAGGAUUACCCCACCUCACCCUGUCCAUUACUUCUCUUCUCCCAGGAACACAACCAGGGAUCUGCUGCUUGUCACAGUUACGGACUGUUCGUAGCACCUGCUAUUUCAGUGGACAAAUGCGUCAGAGUACUUAGGUAUUGACUGUCAAGUAUACAAUGACACCAUCACUGACAAGUGCUGCACGCUUUCCACUGCGACUCUAUGUAAUUUUUGUUUUGCUGCAGUACUGGGUCAUUACGUCACAAUUGAAAACCCUGACUUAUGUUAUACAAGCAGGGACUCUAGCCCUGCAAAUGAUCAUGAUGUGCAUGUAUGCAUGAAAAGCUCCAAGUUUGAUGGCCACAAAGAGGAGAUGCUUUUUUCAGCAGUCUAGUGUGCAUCAUGUAACAUGUAACAACCCAUAAUGCCUGGAAGGUACCAAGUGUACAUGUAUGGCAAAACACUUUGAAUGUAGAUGGAAGUUUAACUGCCAGUCUCUAUGGGGAUUUCACAAUGAAUUAAUUCUGUCAGGAGGCUAGGGUAGACUUUGCCAUUGACCCGUUUUAAAACAACAACUGCAGAUUCUGUAAAUCACAUUAUGAUAGCAGGAAACAAGCAAAGCAAGUUAACAGAUCCUUUCAGAAUAGAUACAUGUUUAUAGUAAGUAGAGCAAAGGACACACUCUUUUACACAUAGAGUUUGCUUAUCAUUUUUUUUACUUCUUAGGUCUCUUUCUACUUUUACUUCUGACACAAUUUCUAAUGUUUACACAGAAAGCAACAGUACUAUGGAUAAAAAGCUAGACCUCAGGCUUAAUAAACAGGAACAUUUCUGUGUACAUUUAGGACAGGUAAAUCUGAAUGUAAUUAAGACCAUGCCCUAUUCAGAGACUUAACAGUUGAAACACCUCUAAACAGGAACCAGUCUUAAAUCAGACACUGUUCUCAAGGUCAAGAGCAAGAGCAUUUGAAAGCCAUUGAGACCACCAGGACACAACCACACUGGCACAAAGGCCCCUAAUGUUUAUAGAAGUUGUUGUUGGAGGCUCAAGUUAAUUCCUUUGCUGUUUACAAGCUCAACCUCAAUGGAGAUCUGAAAACUAACAGUCAAGAUCAUGGUCAUGGGUGAUCUUUUAAAAACAUUACAGAAUCUCAAGUAACUGAGAAGUUGACAAGAUGACCUGCAACUCAUUUCCAAACAGUUAUUAGAAUUGCUGAAGUGGCAGAGAAUUCUAUCAAAGGAAAGUAGAUUCAACUGUUUCAUAGUUAGCUACUAUGAUAACUAGAGUCACAAAAAUGAUAAACGUAAUUUCACGUAAUUCUAGCAGAAGUCAACGGUAAGUGAAAUUUCACUUGUGACAUUCAGUCUUUCCUUAGGAAGAGUUGGGAUAAUACAGGAGUUUGCUAGAAGACAUAUUUGACACAGAAUACAUGGUUUCAAAAGUAAGUAAAGCAUCCAUCUGUCUUAUGAGUAUUGAACCUCACUGAACUGCAAUGUUUGGUAAUAAGAUGAGCCACUAACUCUUAUAUACUGCUCUCUAGUAACCUACAGAGUGUUGAGAGUACAAGAUUAAGUCACAUAAUGACACACUAUCUACAAGAUGAAAGAUUUUACGAGGCAGAAAAACCUGACCAAACAGUGCUUCCCUCAAUGAGCAAGUCUUUCUCCUUCAAGGUUAGCCACGCUGUGGUUGUAGAUCUUAGGACAUAAUGGUUCCUAAUGGGGUUUGAAGGAGGAAACUUUACAACGGAAGUAAACUAACAUGGUGGCUACAUUGGAGUCCUUGUCUUGGGCUGAGAACAGCUGCUGACAGAUGAGACCUCCUUUGUAGGAAGUUCAAGCUACUUCACAUGUCGUAGCUUUCACCACGUCUCCGUAAUGAUGUUAGUAUAGGAAUAGAGGAGCGGAUAUCACUGGACAUGAUGGCAACUAGUUCACUUUUCAAGUGCAGUCGUUACACUUUGUCGCUCAGAACAACAUGUCAGUGAUGUUCCUGUCUUCACCGACGGAACCAGGUAACCUCUCUACGUGUGUAUCUGUUUCCAGGUAAACAGAAGGUAAGACCACAGGUAGAUAGUAUUCAAACCUUCCACUCCACCUUCUAACAAUUUAUAGUUAUUCCCCUUCUAUGCCCCAACCAGUUUUAUUACCUCCCUUGGGAUUUUAUAGAUCUUAUACCAUGAUAAACCAUGUGUGUCAUAAAUUUGUGCUUUAUUGAGAGAUGCAUGCUUCUAUCCCCACAGCUGCAGCAUGAAGAUGUCCAUCUACGAGGGCCCCAAAGCCCUUUUUCGUAGAGCGUAAUCGGCGGUUUUGAAUUCUACGUACUCCGUAGCGGGACCGCUCAAAUUCAACGUAGAGCGUACUCGGUGCAUUUUGCGUCGAGCGAUAUUGGCCCCUUUAAUUUAACGUAUUACGUAGAAGCUAACCGGAUUUUACCGUAAAACGUAAUUCAUAUUAAUUGUUCGUAAAUCGUAAUCAAAAUUUUAUUAAACUUAACUAGUCUACCGGCAAACUUUACCGGCGAAAAUGCAGGAAAUUGCGUUUCAAAGGGUCCAGAUUUCAAAAUUUCGCCGGACCUUCCUUGCGAUGUCGCCGAUGAUGGCUCAUCCCUUCGGCUCUGGACAUGGUGAAAAUAUGUUGCGGGACCGUCGCCUCCCAACUAGUAGAAAUUUCUGUACCGAACUUAGCUUAGUUGACAAGCAAAAUGUGCCUCUUAAAUGCAGGAAAUAGCAUUUGAGAUGGUCAAGAUUUCAGAUUUUUCUCUGCGCGGGCCUUCGCCUUGCGACGGCUUGGGCCUCCGGCGCUCACGACUCUCCAGGGCUCGUUGCCCUCCAAAACUUUUCUCGGACAGAAAUGUCAUUACAUUGAGCAUAUAGGCGGCCAGCAAAAUUUGUCCCUCAAAAUGCAGGAAAUGGUGUUUCAGAGGGUAUAAAUUUUUAAAUUUUCCCGUACGUACCUUGCGACAGUUCGUGCUUUCGGCACUCGAAAUCUGAAAA